AUACAUGCAGUCGAGCGAACGGACGAGAAGCUUGCUUCUCUGAUGUUAGCGGCGGACGGGUGAGUAACACGUGGAUAACCUACCUAUAAGACUGGGAUAACUUCGGGAAACCGGAGCUAAUACCGGAUAAUAUUUUGAACCGCAUGGUUCAAAAGUGAAAGACGGUCUUGCUGUCACUUAUAGAUGGAUCCGCGCUGCAUUAGCUAGUUGGUAAGGUAACGGCUUACCAAGGCAACGAUGCAUAGCCGACCUGAGAGGGUGAUCGGCCACACUGGAACUGAGACACGGUCCAGACUCCUACGGGAGGCAGCAGUAGGGAAUCUUCCGCAAUGGGCGAAAGCCUGACGGAGCAACGCCGCGUGAGUGAUGAAGGUCUUCGGAUCGUAAAACUCUGUUAUUAGGGAAGAACAUAUGUGUAAGUAACUGUGCACAUCUUGACGGUACCUAAUCAGAAAGCCACGGCUAACUACGUGCCAGCAGCCGCGGUAAUACGUAGGUGGCAAGCGUUAUCCGGAAUUAUUGGGCGUAAAGCGCGCGUAGGCGGUUUUUUAAGUCUGAUGUGAAAGCCCACGGCUCAACCGUGGAGGGUCAUUGGAAACUGGAAAACUUGAGUGCAGAAGAGGAAAGUGGAAUUCCAUGUGUAGCGGUGAAAUGCGCAGAGAUAUGGAGGAACACCAGUGGCGAAGGCGACUUUCUGGUCUGUAACUGACGCUGAUGUGCGAAAGCGUGGGGAUCAAACAGGAUUAGAUACCCUGGUAGUCCACGCCGUAAACGAUGAGUGCUAAGUGUUAGGGGGUUUCCGCCCCUUAGUGCUGCAGCUAACGCAUUAAGCACUCCGCCUGGGGAGUACGACCGCAAGGUUGAAACUCAAAGGAAUUGACGGGGACCCGCACAAGCGGUGGAGCAUGUGGUUUAAUUCGAAGCAACGCGAAGAACCUUACCAAAUCUUGACAUCCUUUGACAACUCUAGAGAUAGAGCUUUCCCCUUCGGGGGACAAAGUGACAGGUGGUGCAUGGUUGUCGUCAGCUCGUGUCGUGAGAUGUUGGGUUAAGUCCCGCAACGAGCGCAACCCUUAAGCUUAGUUGCCAUCAUUAAGUUGGGCACUCUAAGUUGACUGCCGGUGACAAACCGGAGGAAGGUGGGGAUGACGUCAAAUCAUCAUGCCCCUUAUGAUUUGGGCUACACACGUGCUACAAUGGACAAUACAAAGGGCAGCGAAACCGCGAGGUCAAGCAAAUCCCAUAAAGUUGUUCUCAGUUCGGAUUGUAGUCUGCAACUCGACUACAUGAAGCUGGAAUCGCUAGUAAUCGUAGAUCAGCAUGCUACGGUGAAUACGUUCCCGGGUCUUGUACACACCGCCCGUCACACCACGAGAGUUUGUAACACCCGAAGCCGGUGG
rnacentral:rRNA from 1 species